GCUGCAAGCGCGUUCGCUUCAGAUCAGCCCUGCCGUCUUCGGCAGUGUCGUUCCGGCCUUGGGUUCUUGGAAUGCCAGAAGUGAUCAUUCCAGAAGAUGGGAAGUUUCAUCUAAAAUUGAGAAAAAUAAGAUUAAUCUAUCCAGCAGUCUUCCCCAAACUGCGCAAGAAAAUACAGUUGAAAUACCUUACUUCCAUUGGACCUGGCACGGCGUCUAGGAUUUCCUCUCUCCCAGGGGACAUCACAGGUCAGCGCUAGGAACUGCUGGAGCGGCUGGUACAAACGUAAGCGCUACCGGAACGGAGUUACUCCCUGCAGUGGGAGACACUGGAGUGCAUGGUAAAAUUAACUUUGUGGUCCAGUCUCAGAGGUUUUAUUUGCUUUUCAGGCAGGACCUAAACUCGAGUUCGAGUCUCUUGUAAACUUAAAUGGGCUUUCAGUCAAGCUCUGAUUGUGUUCAGAAGCAAUUUAAUACUUGUAUGGCACCGUGCAGUAACCCAUAUGGUUGUAUUUGAGGUAUUAUUUGUUGAGGACUGUUUUGUUUCCAACAUAAAAAUUUAAACUUCCGGGAUAGUUUACUCUACUGACAGUUUACUACAGUCCUGUUUGUAAGAGUAGAUUUGGUAUAAUUUGAGAUGAGAUUCACCGCGCUAGAUUUUUCCCUUUUCCUAGGUGUCACUAGAGAGCAGAGGCUGGCCUAGGCAAUCUGUUAUUUGCAUGACUUGACCUGUAUUUUUAACUUUGGGCCUUUUGUGUUUUGCACGUUUUAGUAUGGGAGCAAUUAGAACAUGUCUUACUACUGGUAUUUUACCCUAAAUUGCUAUUAAGUUUUUUUGAAUUGUCAUAACAUAUAUCAAAUCUGAGAGUUCCUGACAUUGUAUGUUUACUUAAGCAAGAAUUUGAAAGGUAAUUUUAUGUUUUACUUCUAAUUUUGAAGUUAUGUAGUGUUAGCUUUUAUAUAUAAACAUAUUUAUCAGCUGCUGCAGUCACUUGCCUUGAUAUAAGAUGGCUGCCUAUUUUUAUUUCUGGAGCUAUACAAUACAGCCUGAACAUCCUGACUACUUAAGCUGGAUUUACAGCAGCUGUGUGUUGCUGAAAGCCUAUGGCAUAUACGCUUCACUUUUCUCUCACUUCCAUUCUAGUUUCCAACCAAUCUCUUGUACUUCCAUAUAGUCCUCUGAGCCUAUGCACCCUCCCAUGAUUUUCUUCAUUCUUCUGCACCUUCUCUUAUUUGUAUGUACCUCUACACACAUGUGCA
rnacentral:lncRNA from 1 species